GGAUUAUAAACCGAGAAAAUAGAAAACAUUAGUCCUAAAGUCGGUAGCUCACUCCCACUGCCUGAAAAUUCCCUCAAGACUCUGAACAGGUUUGCCCUUCAAUGAGCCGGUGCCAGGUAUUCCAUGUACACCCUUCAGUGAGCUGGUGACUGGUGCUCAUGUACGCAUGCGCAGGAUAUAUUCAGCCAAUCAGCACGGUCGCUGUGUAAGACCAGCUUUUCUCCUACUCCAAUCACAAGUGAUCCUCAGAGACCUCAGGCCUGUGCUUCCUGGGAGUGUUUUUUUGUUUUUUUUUUUUUUGUUUGUUUGUUUUUUCAGUUGAGGAGCUGAGUGCGGGAGGGUGCAGCUGUGACGGUGUUCACCCCUCAGUUGGCCGAAAAGAGAGCAGCAUGUGACAAGGAUGAGAAUAAGUCAACUCCUAUAGAAGCAGACGAAGAUAUGGGGGAUGAAAUACACAGCAUGUUGCAUAGAUUUGGAGAGUAUCUUCAAACAACAACAAAUGGUACUAAUACAGCAGAAAAUUAAACAGAACCAGAGAAUGACACUAAUCAUGCAGAUGGUUAUACAGUACACACAGAUUUUGAAGAACGUGCAGGAUAAAAGUGCUUCAUGCCUUGAAUUGAAAAGGGAAAUUGCUGAGUAUCAAAAGAAAAAAUGAUAAAACUCAGCAGCUCGAGAUUGCAAACAUUCGAAAGUCUCUUCUAUCCAUACUAUUCUGAGGAGUCCUUGAAGAACAAACACUUCAACUUGUUUGCUGCAAUAGAAUUCUAAUGUUCUCUAAAAACAGUUCCUUACAUCAAAUUUAAGUUUAAAUGAAAUCUAAGCAGGCCUAUGACAAGCAGCUCUUUUGCUGUAUCAAGAUUUUAACUCCUGGGUUUUUAAUUAGUGACAUUUCUCUCUCCAACAGUGUGAAUUCUCAUGUAUGAUUGAACAUUAGUUUGUUUGUUCAUUUAUUUAAGCAUCAGAAAACCCCUAAUCAAUGAUGAAAGAGACAAAGAACAAUUAUAGAAGGUUAUGUUGGCAUUUGCCUUGCUUUGCUUGGCUUUAUUUUUGAGACAUGAGCUCGCCAUGUGACCCAGGCUGGUCUCCCAUUUCUGGGCGUAACCUCAGCCUGCAAAGUACCCAUGGUUUUUAAUUUUUAAUUUGACAAAAUUGAUAUUGCCUGGAUCUCACAAUUGAGCACAUUUGCUACCUUGUUUUUAUGAAAAAGCAACAGCAAAAAGAUUGCAAAUUCUCAAGAGCAUUUACAAAUCUGUAUUAAUGAACUGAACUGUUCAAAUGAAAUCUAAAAUGUCAUGUGACUUGCAGCCAUUCCUCUGUAGCAAUGCUUAUUGUA